GAGUAAUGCUUAGGAAUCUGCCUAUUAGUGGGGGACAACGUUCCGAAAGGAGCGCUAAUACCGCAUACGUCCUACGGGAGAAAGCAGGGGACCUUCGGGCCUUGCGCUAAUAGAUGAGCCUAAGUCGGAUUAGCUAGUUGGUAGGGUAAAGGCCUACCAAGGCGACGAUCUGUAGCGGGUCUGAGAGGAUGAUCCGCCACACUGGGACUGAGACACGGCCCAGACUCCUACGGGAGGCAGCAGUGGGGAAUAUUGGACAAUGGGGGGAACCCUGAUCCAGCCAUGCCGCGUGUGUGAAGAAGGCCUUUUGGUUGUAAAGCACUUUAAGCGAGGAGGAGGCUACCUAGAUUAAUACUUUAGGAUAGUGGACGUUACUCGCAGAAUAAGCACCGGCUAACUCUGUGCCAGCAGCCGCGGUAAUACAGAGGGUGCGAGCGUUAAUCGGAUUUACUGGGCGUAAAGCGUGCGUAGGCGGCCAAUUAAGUCA
rnacentral:rRNA from 1 species